UAUGUGUGCGUGUGAGAGAGAGAGAGAGAGAGAGAGAGAUCACUUUUCCUUCAUCUACUUUCCUCCUCCUCUUCCUCCUCCUCCUUCUCCUCCUCCUCCUCCUCCUCCUCCUCCUCCUCCUCCUCCUCCCAUCACCACCACUCUCCUUUCCUAACAAUUCAUAACAUCAUAAUUCCCAUCCCUACCAUAAUUACUAACAUUAUUAUUUCAUCUAUACUAAUCUACACUAGCGGAAAGUCUAUCGCUUAUGUUUCUGGUUUGAUGUGUAGCGUAGAAAGGCGUCGGGAUAUCUAUCGACGACGAAAGUGACGAUGACGCUGGGAUGUUUUUAUAAGCGUUAGGAGAUGGUGUGUAUAGACGCACUCCCCCCUUAGGCCAUGUAUGCUUUUUUUUGGGGGGGGUGUGGGUACUGGGGGGUAUGGGGGGUAGGUCUAGGGGGGUAUGGGAGAGAGUUUGUACUUCAUUUUUCAACUGUGGCGCCUCUUCCCAAUCUCUCCCCACUCGCUCUUCCCAAUCUCUUCAGUCUCCCCAAUCCCUUCUCAGUCUCUUCCCAAUUUCUUCCCAAUCUCUUCCCUAUAUUCCCAAUCUCCCCUGAUCUUUUCCCAAUAUCUCAAAUUUCUUCCCUAAUCUCUCCCCAGUCUUCCCAAUCUCUCCCCAAUCUCUUCUCAAUCUCUUCCCUAAUCUCCCAAGAUUUCCCCAGUCUUCCCAAUCUCUCCCCAAUCUCUUCUCAAUCUCUUCAGUCUCCCCAAUCUCCCAAGCUCUCCCCAGUCUCCCAAUCUCUCCCCAGUCACUUUCCAAAUAUCUUUCCAGUCUUCCCAAUCUCCCCAAUCUUCCCAGCCCUCCCCAAUCUUCCCCAGUCUCCCCCUUCACCCCCCUCACCCCCCCCUAGGCCACACACACCCCUCUCGUUAACCUGUGGCAGUGCAGCACAAGGGACACACACCUGUUGAAGACCGACUUAGGGGUCAUGCAUAUCUAUCUCGUUAACCUGUACAAAGCGCGUUGGUUGAUUCACCUGCUUUUCGGUUGACUCAUUUAUUAGCAUGGGGGGGGGGGAAUGGGGAGGGGGGGUAAAGGGGGUAGGGGGUGAGGGGGUGCUGUAUAUCUAUUUUAUUUUAUUCAUUUUUUUAUUUUGGGGGGAUAGAUUUGUUUGUUAUUUUUUUAUUUUUUUUAUUACAGUAAGAUUUCAGGGGUUACACUACUACUACUACUACUACUACUACUACUACUACUACUACUACUACUACUACCACUACCACUACUACUACUACUACUACUACUACUACCACCACUACCACUAUUCCAUCAAUUUAUAUAACGGUGAGAUCGAGAAAAAAAUAAUAUAAUCGUCAUGGGUUGUGAACUACUCCGAGCUCACCAGUAUCCUAAGCUCGCCUAAUCUCGCUUCUGUGUCGCCCUCGUGAGCUCUCUCCGUGUCUCUGUAUCUGCAUCUGUGUCCUCUCGUCCUUAUCACGCACCUGUCGUCUGUAUCUGUAUCCCUGUAUCCUUAAGCAUAUCAUCUCCUCACUCGCUCAACUCAGAAAGCCUCUUGUGGAAGGUGCUGGGAAUUUCAUGGGCUAUUCUGUGACCCUGGGGAUAGUUUUACAAGACCUCUUUAUCUUGUCACCUCACUCCCUUAAUUCGGAAAGCCUCUUGUGGAAGGUGCUGGGAAUUUCAUGGGGUGUUUUGUGACCCUGGGGAUAGUUUUACAAGACUUCUACAUCUUGUCACGUCACUCCCUUAAUUCGGAAAGCCUCUUGUGGAAGGUACUGGGAAUUUCAUGGGAUGUUUUGUGACCCUGGGGAUAGUUUUACAAGUCUUCUACAUCUUGUCACCUCACUCCCUUAAUUCGGAAAGCCUCUUGUGGAAGGUGCUUGGAUUUUCAUGGGGUGUUUUGUGACCCUGGGGAUAGUUUUACAAGACUUCUACAUCUUGUCGCCUCACUCCCUUAAUUCGGAAAGCCUCUUGUGGAAGGUGCUUGGAAUUUCAUGGGCUAUUCUUUGACCCUGGGGAUAGUUUUACAAGACUUCUGCAUCUUGUCGCCUCACUCCCUUAAUUCGGAAAGCCUCUUGUGGAAGGUACUGGGAAUUUCAUGGGAUGUUUUGUGACCCUGGGGAUAGUUAUACAAGUCUUCUACAUCUUGUCGCCUCACUCCCUUAAUUCGGAAAGCCUCUUGUGGAAGGUGCUUGGAUAUUCAUGGGGUGUUUUGUGACCCUGGGGAUAGUUAUACAAGUCUUCUACAUCUUGUCACCUCACUCCCUUAAUUCGGAAAGCCUUUUGUGGAAGGUACUGGGAAUUUCAUGGGAUGUUUUGUGACCCUGGGGAUAGUUUUACAAGUCUUCUACAUCUUGUCACCUCACUCCCUUAAUUCGGAAAGCCUCUUGUGGAAGGUGCUGGGAAUUUCAUGGGCUAUUCUGUGACCCUGGGAUAGUUUUACAAGACUUCUACAUCUUGUCACCUCACUCCCUUAAUUCGGAAAGCCUCUUGUGGAAGGUGCUGGGAAUUUCAUGGGCUAUUCUUUGACCCUGGGGAUAGUUUUACAAGACUUCUGCAUCUGGAAUGGGAAAUAACAUCUUGUUGCCUCACUCCCUUAAUUCGGAAAGCCUCUUGUGGAAGGUGCUGGGAAUUUCAUGGGCUGUUUUGUGACCCUGGGGAUAGUUUUACAAGACUUCUGCAUCUGGAAUGGGAAAUAGCAUCUUGUCGCCUCACUCCCUUAAUUUGGAAAGCCUCUCGUGGAAGGUGCCGGGAACUUCAUGGGAUGUUUUGUGACCCUGGGGAUAGUUUUACACGACCGCUGCAUUUUGACCGGGAAAAACACCAGUGAAUUAAAAGGGAAGAAAGGAAAAACGAAGAAAAAAAUGGAGGAAGAAGAAAAUGAAGAAAGAAAUGAAGACCAACAACAACAGUAACCAGAAGAAGAACAGGAAGAAGAAAAAAAAAAACAUAAUAAAAAAAGAACAAUCGGAGGAAGAAAAUACGAAGAAAAAACGAAAGACGAAGAAGAAAAAAAAGGGAAAGUCACCCAUGAAAACCUGGUAACCCUUCUCUGUGGCAUUGGGAACUGUUGUAAAGGGGAAAGGCUCAACUACUUCCCAAGCCAUCUGUGACAUCAAGAUCAAGAGCGAGGGGAGACUGAUAUGUUUAGGAAUAGGGAGUUUUAAUCUUACUGAAGGCACCUUUCUUAUCAACGCAUGCUGUAUAGAUAUGUUAUGUUUUUUAUCUAUACUAACAUUCUCUCUCUCUCUCUCUCUCUCUCUCUCUCUCUCUCUCUCUCUCUCUCUCUCUCUCUCUCUCUCUCUCUCUCCGCCUUUUUAAAUAAUCAAACAUUGGAUAGCGUUUAUUGUGUAUAUAUACGAACAUACAUACAUACAUACAUACAUACAUACAUAUAUAUAUAUAAUUUAACCCAAAAAAGUAUAAUAUAUAUAAAUAAUAAUGCAUAUAUACUUUUUACUCAUAUUGUUUUAGAAAAAAGCAUAAUAAUAAUAAUAAUAAUAAUAAUGAUAAAAUAUAACUUACUACUACUAUUACUUCUUCUACUACUACUACUACUACUACUACUACUACUGUCGACAUUUUUAUUUUUAUUUAUUUUUUUAAUCUAAGGUUCAAAGUCGUCUAGUCCCGGUGGUGCGAGUUUGUUCGUUUGUCCGUUUGUUUGUCCGUUCGUGCGUCGGUUUGUGAUAAUGCUAGAGUGCUGUUUGGGGUACACACACACACACACACACACACACACACACACACACACACACACACACACACAUAGACACACACACACACA